CAUUGAAGUGAUGAUACCUUCUUCUGACUUUAAUGGAUGUGGAUUUAUUGAAUCAGACUACAAUUAUCUGAUCAAUG
rnacentral:snoRNA from 1 species